UGACCAGGAAGAGAAGAAUCUGGUAGUGUUACAUUGGAACCUUCAUUUCGUAGAAUUUGGAAUGAUAACACACGAGAACCCCAAAACAAAGAGAGACAAAAAAGCCUACAAUUCCAAAACACUGUUCAAAUACACCACACUUUUGCAUAUCUGCUGGUACUCCUGGUUUCUUUAAACAUCCACCAGCAAACUGUCAAACAGAAUUCUCUCUGACUUUCCUCCCUGAAACCUUUUUCUUCCUCUUGUCUGGAUCACCUCCAGAGCAAGGUGGAGUAAGUCAGUUCAAGACCUCAGGCAUUUGAAAUAUAUCCUUAGUCGUUGUUGAUAAUUACAGAAAUAGAACAACCAGUCCGGAAACUAAAAGAACAUUUUAAUAUUGGGUCAGAUUAUGAAUAUUAAAGGAUUUCCAAAACCCACGCUAAUUUUAAACUACAAGUGCUGUGCAUUGCAAAUGACCUGAGCUGUGUGACUCAUCAGCUUCCAGAGAAUCAGGUCAUGAAAUUCUCUCGUUUGCAGCUCAAGUGAAGU